UUCUGUUGUGUUCGGUGCACUCUGCUCCAGCAGCACAUCCCACUGAGAGGGAAUUAAAGCAAAACGGGGAGAAAGGGGAAGAGCAAAGAACCAGCACGAGGAAUGUCACUCCGCAGAUACGGAAACGUCUCGAACGUGCCCCUGGCGUGUUGCAGCAGACAGCUUAAGCCGAGAGAAAAUUCUUUGGCAGUGACAUCAAUUCGGCGGCCUGACUUCUGCGGGAGUGUUCAAACCCAUCUCAUAAGUGGCUCGCAGCUGCUGAAAGACGGCUCUCGCCUGGUGCUGGGGAUGGCUCCUUCACCUCGAGAGGAGCCUGAGCCUCUCCGAGAUGAGCGUGCUGUUUCCCUGUGGUUUCUCAUGGCUUUGGGUUGUCAUACAGGGCAUGCGGGAAUGGUCUUUGAUGGCCCUUGCAUGAGACCAUGAGUAAUUGAUUCUUCAUGGAGAGAGCUUUGGGCAAGUCAUUCCUACUGCUCACAAGGCUAAGGGCGUCCAGUACGCAUCCCCAGGCACGGCCUGGCCCACAGAUGGGGAUGUUUGAUGGAGUAACGGUGUGAAGUGGGCACUGGUUGUGCUGCAGGAGAGUGUGUGGUGGAACAGCACUGUCCUUGAUCAAGUGGUGGUGAAGAGCUGACCCAGCCCUCGUGCAGAACCCAAAGGAGACAAGAAAAUUCUGUGCCAGCUUCUUUGCAGACAGAAGAUGUGGAACAAAAUCGCGCCGUUCCCUGCCGCCCUGAAAUCGUCUUCGGUAAAACUGUGAGUUACCCAGAAGCUGCGAGCAGGCGCUACUGCCCGUCUGAAGAAACCGGUGAGACGAUUUGAGACUCACCACGAGGCGACCUCAGACCCCGGAGGGGGCUCAGCACAGGGUGCGGGCUCAGCCUCCGCCCUCGCUGCUGCCUGGGGCACGUGGCUGGGCAGCAAACCGCAGCUGCAGGUGGGCACGCUGCCCCAUCCCUCUCUUCGCGGGAUGCUUUGAGCCUUUUCCCUUUUUUUUCCCCCCUUUUGUUUCAGGGCUGAGCGUGCGGCCACGUCGCCUGCUUGCUGGGAAAGUGCCCUACCGCGCUCCAGGUGCGCACUGGGACAAGGGUGGGGAUGGAGGCUGCGCGAUCCCCCUGUGCCUCAGUUUCCCCAUCACUUAAAGACGGGCGCGGGGUGCCCGGCCCUAUUAACCUCCACGCGGAGGAGGGAGGGCUGCGGCAAAGGGACACGAGGGCGCGGGGCCGGCUCGGCGGUGGGAAGGCAGGGCCCCAGCAUCCCUCGAUCCCUCGGAGCCGCUCCGCGCUGCCCCAGCACCACCUGGCGGCCCCGCACCGCCCCGGGGCGGUGCCUGCGGGACAGGGCGGGCGGAGCGGCUCGGGCUGGCAUUCCUCCCUCUGCCACCGAGGU